GAGGUUAUAUUUUAAAAUAAAAAAAUUAACUAGCAAUUAAAAAAUAAUGAAUUUUCAUUUAUCCUCA
rnacentral:tRNA from 1 species